AGAGGGGCCAAGGCUCAGUGGUAGAGCCUCUGCUUGGCAUGCAGAAGGUCCCAGGUUCAAUACCCAGCCUCUCCA
rnacentral:tRNA from 1 species